AUGGAUGAAGAGCUGGACGAUGUGGUCAUCGGGAAGGAAAAGGCCCAGAAGUUUAAGGAGGAAUCUCGAUGGCUGGCGAUUGCCAGGGUCAAUACGGAUCGACCUUUUAGUUCGUCGUCCUUUUUUGACACCAUGACGUUUGUCUGGGGCCUAGCGCAGACGCCAAAAUUCAGAGAGGCGGGAGCGAAUAGAUUCAUAUUCCAGAUGUUUUGCUUGGGAGAUUGGAAGAAAGUAGUCCAUGGUGGUCCAUGGCUCUUUCGAAACUAUGGGGUGGUCAUUGAGGACUACGAUGGGACAACGGAUCUAGGGUAAUUCGUGCUUGAUGGCCUGUAUGUGUGGGCGCAGAUCCAUAAGGUUCCUGAUCUUUACCGCCAUCCAGAAGUUGUUGAUGAGUUAGCACGAAGAAUUGGCAAAGUCAGAGAGGUUCAGCUCCGUCCUACUCUGUACUAUGAGGGUGACUAUGUCAGGGUUAGGGUUCGUGUUCUUACUGCGAAACCUCUGACCAGAUUCGCUCCUCUAACUGUGGAAGGAGAAGGGAGACGAAUGCUAGUGGUGAAAUAUGAAAAAAUCCCUUUCUUUUGCAAGGUUUGCGGUCUUAUGGGACAUGGUUUUGAGGAGUGUGGUAAUGGGAUUUGGAAGGAGACGGACAAGAAGUGGGGAAGCUGGAUGUUAGCCAAGCGCAGAGAGGUCUCCUACUCACAGCCCAAUGACGGAAGGUAUUUCUUUCGAGGGGGCCGUGGUAGAGGAGGAGCGAGAGGCAGAGGUCGCGACACAGCUCAAAGAGAAGGAGACCCAGUGAGAAACACAAGCCGGCAACAGGAAGAAGAUGUGCUUGGUGGAAAUACUCAUGAUGGGCCUGCAGAAUUUGAAGGUGGGACUGCUGCUACAGCGAACAGAGCAAACAAUAAAAGAAAUUAA
rnacentral:rRNA from 1 species